UUUACCUACGGGAGGCAGCAGUGAGGAAUAUUGGUCAAUGGGCGAGAGCCUGAACCAGCCAAGUCGCGUGAGGGAUGACUGCCCUAUGGGUUGUAAAUCUCUUUUGUAUGGGGGGAAUAAGCUUUACGAGUAGAGUGAUGACAGUACCAUACGAAUAAGCAUCGGCUAACUCCGUGCCAGCAGCCGCGGUAAUACGGAGGAUGCGAGCGUUAUCCGGAUUUAUUGGGUUUAAAGGGUGCGUAGGCGGCGCUUCAGGUCAGCGGUGAAAUACCGGGGCUCAACCCCGGGGCUGCCGUU
rnacentral:rRNA from 1 species